AAAAGUGAUGAUAGAUGUCAUUAAGACAUUAUUUUAAGUGACUAGCUAUAUGCAAUGUUGUCUACUUGUUAACCAUCUUUCGGGACUGAUU
rnacentral:snoRNA from 1 species